rfam:Pristionchus pacificus strain PS312 contig4367, whole genome shotgun sequence.
UCUUCAUUCUCCACACUCUCUCGCCCGGUCGAGCGGUCGAGAUAGUGUGGAAAAUGAAGAGA